UACGUAGGUGGCAAGCGUUGUCCGGAUUUACUGGGCGUAAAGAGCGCGCAGGCGGUCGUGCAAGUCGCGUGUGAAAGCCCCCGGCUCAACUGGGGAGGGUCACGCGAUACUGCUCGACUCGAAGGCAGGAGAGGGAAGUGGAAUUCCCGGUGUAGUGGUGAAAUGCGUAGAUCUCGGGAGGAACACCAGUGGCGAAGGCGACUUCCUGGCCUGUUCUUGACGCUGAGGCGCGAAAGCUAGGGUAGCAAACGGG
rnacentral:rRNA from 1 species